AGCACCAAAACAAUCCAAGAGUAGUAGUACUACAACCAGCCUCACUACGUGAGCAUCUUCACAAUGAGUGUGUGCGUGCUUCACUUGUGUCCUGAUAGCUUCAGUUAGCUGCAAUAUAGAUCCUCUUUGCCUCUGAUCCUCGGCGGUUCUGCCAGUAGAUUGUUUGGGCUAACAGAGCAGAGGAGGAAGAAGAGGUUGCCGGGCUCGCUGCGGUGGCUCCAGGCUUGCGCCGGUCGAAGCUUAAGAUAUAGUCUACAACAGCGGUUCGAUCCGACACGGCUGGGAGUCCUCGCGGUGGCGGUGGCCAUGGGAUCGACGGAGGACGGCCACGAGGGCACUUGGGCCGCGG
rnacentral:rRNA from 1 species